rnacentral:rRNA from 1 species
GACGUAGGGUGCGAGCGUUGUCCGGAAUCAUUGGGCGUAAAGAGCGUGUAGGCGGCCAACUAAGUCCUGCGUGAAAUCUCGGGGCUCAACCCCGAGCGGUCGUGGGAAACUGGUUGGCUAGAGUGCGGGAGAGGAGAGUGGAAUUCCUGGUGUAGCGGUGAAAUGCGCAGAUAUCAGGAAGAACACCCGUGGCGAAGGCGGCUCUCUGGAACGCAACUGACGCUGAGACGCGAAAGCGUGGGGAGCAAACAGG